rnacentral:rRNA from 1 species
UACGUAGGAGGCAAGCGUUGUCCGGAAUUACUGGCGUAAAGCGCGUGUAGGUGGUGGGACAAGUCUGCUGUGAAAGCGCCUGGCUUAACCGGGCGAGGUCGGCGGAAACUGUCCGACUAGAGGACGGUAGAGGGGGGUGGAAUUCCCGGUGUAGUGGUGAAAUGCGUAGGGAUCGGGAGGAACACCUGUGGCGAAGGCGGCCCCCUGGGCCCGGCCCUGACACUGAGACGCGAAGGGCGUGGGGAGCCGAACGGGG